UUAGAGGAAGUAAAAGUCGUAACAAGGUUUCCGUAGGUGAACCUGCGGAAGGAUCAUUAAUGAAUUGUAAUCGGAGCUGAUGCUGGCGGCUUGGCUGCAUGUGCUCGCUCUUAACAAUCUUUAUCCAAACACCUGUGCACAUUUAGAGAGGGUCUCCGAGUUCUCCUUGGAGUCCCUUCCUCUCAUUAUACACUAGUUUUUAAUAUUGAACGUGAUUGUGCCGUGAGGCCUUAAUAUCAAUACAACUUUUAACAACGGAUCUCUUGGCUCUCGCAUCGAUGAAGAACGCAGCGAAAUGCGAUAAGUAAUGUGAAUUGCAGAAUUCAGUGAAUCAUCGAAUUUUUGAACGCACCUUGCGCUCCCUGGUAUUCCGGGGAGCACGCCUGUUCGAGUGUCGUGAAAUUCUCAAACUGGGAUGCUUUUUUGUUUCUCGGCUUGGUGUUGGGCUUUGCAGUUCCUUUGAUUGGGAUGGCUGGCCUCAAAAGCAUUAGCUGGCUUUUCAUGUGGCAUUGGUUCUACUCAGCGUGAUAAUGAUCUGACCGCCGAGGACAUCUUUCGAGAUGGCCAAUUCUCAUUUGGGCUGCUUCUAAUUUUGGUAGAGCGGAUUCUGAAUCUGUUCCACUUUUUCAACUUUUGACCUCGAAUCAGGUGGGACUACCCGCUGAACUUAAGCAUAUCAAUAAGCGGAGGAAAAGAAACUAACAAGGAUUCCCCUAGUAACGGCGAGUGAAGCGGGAAGAGCUCAAAUUUAAAAUCUGGCAGUCUUUGAUUGUCCGAGUUGUAAUCUAGAGAAGCGUUUUCCGCGCUGGACCGUGUA
rnacentral:rRNA from 1 species